GAUGCACCAUCGGGGGGUGGGAACUGGUGUCAUCGCCGCAGAGAAAUUUGCCAAGGCCAGCUGGGCCCGGCAGCUCACGCCUGUAAUCCUAGCACUUUGGGAGGCUGAGGCGGGUGGAUCACCUGAGGUCAGGAGUUCGAGACCAACAUUGUCCAACAUGGUGAAACCCCAUCUCUACUAAAAAUACAAAAAAUUAGCCAGGCGUGGUGGCACGUGCCUGUAGUCCCAGCUACUCAGGAGGCUGAGGCAGGAGAAUUGCUCGAACCUGGGAGGCAGAGGUUGCAGUGAGCCAAGAUAGUGUCACUGCACUCCAGCCUGGGCAACAGAGCAAGACUCCAUCUCAAAAAUAAAGAAAAAAAAGAAAAGAAAUUUUCCAAGGCUUAGUAUAAGGAGCAAAGGACGGUCUUGGCUGAGGACCAGCUAGCCCAGAUGUCAAAGCAGUUGGGCAUGUUCAAGACCAACCUGGAGGAAUUUGCCAGCAAGCACAAGCAGGAGAUCCGGAAGGAUCCUGAGUUCCAUGUGCAGUUCCAGGACAUGUGUGCAACCUUUGGGGUGGAGCCUUUGGCCUCUGGAAAAGGAUUUUGAUCUGAGAUGCUGGGUGUGGGGGAUUUUUAUUACGAACUCGGUGUCCACAUUACCAAAGUGUGCCUAGUGCUGAGCAUUGGAGUGGAGGUCCAAUAACUCUAGAGGAACUACAUCAACAGGUGUUAAAAGGAAGGGGCAAGUUCACCCAGGAUGUCAGUCAAGACAACCUGAUCAGGGCCAUCAAGAAACUAAAGGCACUUGGCACUGGCUUCAGCAUCAUCCCCAUGAGUGGCACUUACCUCAUUCAGUCUGUUCCAGCUGAAUUCAAUAUGGAUCACACCAUGGGGCUGCAGCUGGCAGAGAAAAAUGGCUAUUGACUGUCAGAGAGAUCAAAGCCAGUCUUAAAUGGGAGAACCAAUGAGCAGGGCAAGUGCCAGAACACCUGCUGAGAGAAGGGCUGGCGUGGCUGGACUUACAGGCCCCAGGGGAGAUCCACUACUGGCUGCCAGCUCUCUUCACUGACCUCUACUCCCAGGAGAUUACAGCUGAGGAAGCCAGAGAAGUCUUCCCC
rnacentral:lncRNA from 1 species